ensembl:lncRNA
GAGAGAUUUGGGGGUAAAUAUUUGCCUUUAGGCCUGCCGGUGAUCUCCAGCCAGACGUACAAUGUUUCUUUAAAAAAACACACACACACACACACACACACACUCACAAAAGUACAAAGAGUGCAGAGGGACGUGUUCUCCAGAUGUCUCUGAUGAGUGUAAACAGCACCCAGGCCUGCGCCCCCCCGCGAGAGAUCGCCGUGACUCUUCUUCCUCUCGCCACAUCAAAGAUCAAAACAGCGAACACGACAGACUGAGCUGCAUUCCCCUCAGGUGAUGACGGAGAUAAUCCACGAGCAGCCGAGCACAGACGAUAAGCGAUGGGACGCUCGGAUAGAAUUGUC